rnacentral:rRNA from 1 species
GCUGGAAUCGCUAGUAAUCGCGGAUCAGAAUGCCGCGGUGAAUACGUUCCCGGGCCUUGUACACACCGCCCGUCACACCAUGAGAGUCUGUAACACCCAAAGCCGGUGGGAUAACCUUUAUAGGAGUCAGCCGUCUAAGGUAGGACAGAUGAUUAGGGUGAAGUCGUAACAAGGUAUC